GGUAUGUUUAUAUUGUUUACCUUAGUGAUGUAUUUGUUUAAGUGGCUAACAUCAAAACAAUUGUUUGAGGGCAUCAGUAAUAUUCAGAGUGGAAUGUUAAAUAACGCUUUUAUACUGUAUUUUGUACUAUGAUGUAACUUCCCUUCCAUACGGCUAGGCUGCUGUAACACUUGCCUGUAAUCAGUGAAGGGCUGUGCACCUUGUACUAUUUCACAAUGGGUUCUGCUGGACAGAUACUGGGCCAGUGUUAUUAAAGUAAUGAAGCAAGAUCUGUCCCACAGGGCUAAUGCCACCAUCUCC
rnacentral:lncRNA from 1 species